rnacentral:rRNA from 1 species
GUAGGUGGCAAGCGUUGUCCGGAAUUAUUGGGCGUAAAGCGCGCGCAGGCGGUUCUUUAAGUCUGAUGUGAAAGCCCACGGCUCAACCGUGGAGGGUCAUUGGAAACUGGAGAACUCGAGUACAGAAGAGGAAAGCGGAAUUCCACGUGUAGCGGUGAAAUGCGUAGAGAUGUGGAGGAACACCAGUGGCGAAGGCGGCUUUCUGGUCUGUAACUGACGCUGAGGCGCGAAAGCGUGGGGAGCAAACAGGGAUUAGAUACCCUGGUAGUCCACGCCGUAAACGAUGAGUGCUAAGUGUUAGGGGGUUUCCCGCCCCUUAGUGCUGCAGCUAACGCAUUAAGCACUCCGCCUGGGGAGUACGGCCGCAAGGCUG